AAAGAUUUGUUUUCCGUCUAGAUGAAAUCUUGAAUAUUUGUUUAUUGGGCAAUUUUUUGCAGGAUUCUAGGAAUUUGAUUUGCAUGGUCUUGUUCGACUUUGUCGGAUUUCAGAGUCCGAUUUGUAUUGGCUUCUUCGACUUCAUUGGUUAAAUAUUCUUUGUUAUUUUUAUGUUGGAUUUGUACAUUAAACUUCAAUAUAUAUUAAAUGCUUGCUGUAUAGACUUUUGGUUUCCAUGGUCAGUUUAUCUUUUGUGGUUUCUAUUAAGUGAGUGGGUCAUUUUUUCCUCUUUCGAUUUACAUAGGCUGGCUUUUGUUUGAUUUCGUGGCUUCUUUUGUACAUAUAUAGUAAAUGCUUGUUGUACACACUUUUGAUUUCAAUGGGCAGUAAUUGAUUAUGAGUU